rnacentral:lncRNA from 1 species
CGUGGUUUGUGUCUGAACUACCUGAAAAAGAUAUCUCAAACGUUGUGGUUCAGUGUAGGUAGUAUUCCACAAUAAGCCACCGUAGUUUCAUUCUGCUACAUUGGCCAUCCAUUGCAGCUACAUUGCAGUCAUAAGGGGGCGACUAACAACAAAACAAAACUUACGGUCUGGCGAAGCUCAUUUAUUUGCGUUGUUCCUGCGUCUACCUGAGCCGAUUGUGUGGCCAGUUGAGCUUGUUGUUGUUCGUU